rnacentral:lncRNA from 1 species
AUGAUUUUUUGGGUGUUUUCAGAUUGGAUUUUGGUUGUUGAAGAUUACGACAAUAAUGGUGGUUCAGGCAGGGAAUAGCGGCAGGAUUGGAGAAUUUGGGAUUGAGGUUUGCGGCAACAGUAGUGGUGGUUUAGUAAUGGGGAUGAGGUUUAUCGGGUAGGUGGGAUUAAAGAAUUGAGGGAAAAUGUGAGAAAGAUGGGAAGGGUUUAAGCUUAUUUUGUGGGGAUUGCUUGAAUUUCUUUGGAGUUUCAACCGUGGAUGAUGUCGUCGAGUUCAUAGACGAGGUAACCGUCAGGAAGAGAAAUAAAAAAAAGAAAAGACGUCGGGUAGAGA